rnacentral:rRNA from 1 species
CGGAGAGGGCGCAUGAGAAACGGCUACCACUUCUAAGGAAGGCAGCAGGCGCGCAAAUUACCCAAUCCUGACUCAGGGAGGUAGUGACAAGAAAUAACAAUAAACCGGCUUAUGCCGGUUUAAUUGGAAUGAGUACAAUUUAAACAUCUUAACGAGGAAUAAUUGGAGGGCAAGUCUGGUGCCAGCAGCCGCGGUAAUUCCAGCUCCAAUAGCGUAUACUAAAGUUGUUGCAGUUAAAAAGCUCGUAGUUGGAUUUCUGCGGGGACGGAGCGGCCGGACGCAACUUGCGUCUCGAGCUAGCGCUUUCCCCGCAUCCUGCCGCGAACCGUGCUACCAUUAGCUUGGUGGCGCUGGGGAUCGGCUCGAUUACUUUGAGAAAAAUAGAGUGUUCAAAGCAGGCCACACGCCUUGAAUAAGUUAGCAUGGAAUAAUGACUAAGGACUUCGGUUCUAUUUUGUUGGUGUUCGGGACUGAAGUAAUGAUUGAUAGGGACAGUUGGGGCGGUCUGUAUUCCAAAGCGAGAGGUGAAAUUCUUAGACCUUCGGAAGACAAACAGCUGCGAAAGCGUUCCGCAAGGAUGUUCCCUUUGAUCAAGAACGAAAGUUGGGGGAUCGAAGACGACCAGAUACCGUCGUAGUCUCAACUAUAAACUAUACCAGCUAGGGAUCGGUCAACGUUUAAUCAUUCGACUUGAUCGGCACCUUAUGAGAAAUCAAAGCAUCUGGGUUCCGGGGGGAGUAUGGUCGCAAGGCUGAAACUUAAAGGAAUUGACAGAAGGGCACCACCAGCCGUGGAGCCUGUGGCUUAAUUUGACUCAACACGGGAAAACUUACCAGGUCCAGACAUAGUAAGGAUUGACAGAUUGAUAGCUCUUUCUUGAUUCUGUGGGUGGUGGUGCAUGGCCGUUCUUAGUUGGUGGAGUGAUUUGUCUGGUUAAUUCCGUUAACGAACGAGACCCCAGCCUGCUAAAUAGCGCGGCUGAGCUUUGCUCGGUGCGAGCUUCUUAGAGGGACUAUGAUGCGCGAUAGCACAUGGAAGUUUGGGGCAAUAACAGGUCUGUGAUGCCCUUAGAUGUUCUGGGCCGCACACGGGCUACACUGGCGCCUGCAACGAGCAUAUCAGCUGGCCCGAGAGGGUCUUGGCUAAUCUUUUGAACCGGCGCCGUGCUUGGGAUUGACCAUUGCAAUUGUUGGUCAUGCAACGAGGAGUGCCUUGUAAACGCGAGUCAUCAGCUCGCAUUGAAUACGUCCCUGCCCUUUGUACACACCGCCCGUCGCUCCUACCGAUGAAUGUUCCGAUGAAAUUUUCGGAGAGCGCCAGAGAACGGGGCUCUGCCUUGCAGAUCUGGAGGCUCAAAGUCACUUAAAUCUGAACAUUUCGAGGAAGGAGAAGUCGUAACGAGGUAACC